UACGUAGGGGGCUAGCGUUGUCCGGAAUCAUUGGGCGUAAAGCGCGUGUAGGCGGUCCGGUAAGUCCGCUGUGAAAGUCGGGGGCUCAACCCUCGGAUGCCGGUGGAUACUGUCGGGCUUGAGUACGGAAGAGGCGAGUGGAAUUCCUGGUGUAGCGGUGAAAUGCGCAGAUAUCAGGAAGAACACCCGUGGCGAAGGCGGCUCUCUGGGACGUGACUGACGCUGAGACGCGAAAGCGUGGGGAGCGAACAGG
rnacentral:rRNA from 1 species